rnacentral:rRNA from 1 species
GACAGAGGCCUCAAGCGUUAGGCGGAAUCACUGGGCUUAAAGCGUGUGUAGGCGGAUCGUUAAGUGUCUUGUGAAAUCCCACGGCUCACCCGUGGAACUGCUGGGCAUACUGGCGAUCUUGGGCCAACUAGGGGCAACUGGAACAAGCGGUGGAGCGGUGAAAUGCGUAGAUAUCGCUUGGAACGCCGAAGGUGAAAACAGGUUGCUGGGGUUGUGCCGACGCUGAGACACGAAAGCUAGGGGAGCAAACGGG